UCAGCUUGUUGGUGGGGUAACGGCCCACCAAGGCUUCGACGGGUAGCCGGCCUGAGAGGGUGACCGGCCACACUGGGACUGAGACACGGCCCAGACUCCUACGGGAGGCAGCAGUGGGGAAUAUUGGACAAUGGGCGAAAGCCUGAUCCAGCAACGCCGCGUGAGGGAUGACGGCCUUCGGGUUGUAAACCUCUUUCAGCAGGGACGGAGCGCAAGUGACGGUACCUGCAGAAGAAGCACCGGCCAACUACGUGCCAGCAGCCGCGGUAAUACGUAGGGUGCGAGCGUUGUCCGGAAUUAUUGGGCGUAAAGGGCUCGUAGGCGGUCUGUCACGUCGGGAGUGAAAACUCAGGGCUUAACCCUGAGCCUGCUUCCGAUACGGGCAGACUAGAGGUAUGCAGGGGAGAAUGGAAUUCCUGGUGUAGCGGUGAAAUGCGCAGANAUCAGGAGGAACACCGGUGGCGAAGGCGGUUCUCUGGG
rnacentral:rRNA from 1 species